GAAUCUACAGGUAUAGUGAUUAUAUUGGGAGUACUGUUGGGUGUUUGUGUGGUUGUGAUUAUUGCCCAAGCUGUCUCAUACCAUAAAAAUGAACGAUAUUACAACAAAGACACAGAUGAAAAACAUCCUUCAUGUCAGGACUGUGAUGCAGUGCAUUUGCAUUAUGCUGCUCCAAAAUUUAAGGAGGGAAAACCCAGAAGAAUGAAAGGAAAAGAAGCUCCUCAGGACAGCGUGUACAGCCAACUGAAUGAUCCCAGUGUUGUUGAAUAUAGGAUAACUGAGUAAAAACUGCCUGUGUGGCAAUGAUAGAAAUGAGUGUAUACUGUAGUGCAGAAAAUGUAACAAGACACAUUAAACACCUUAAUCCUUAUAAAAUGUGACCUAAUAUUUCUACAAUUAAAUUUUC